rnacentral:rRNA from 1 species
UUCGGUGAUCAUGGCGAGGGGGAAACACCCGGCUCCAUUCCGAACCCGGAAGUUAAGCCCCUCAGCGCCGAUGGUACUGCACUGGAAACGGUGUGGGAGACUAGGACGUCGCCGGAC